UUCCUUGUAUUUCUCCCAUCUGAUGGAGUAGGGAACAUUAACAAAUGGAAAUGGGCGGGUGACUAAAAAAGGCUGCUUCUUUCUAUGGACUUUGAAGAAAAGUUUAACUGAGAGAGAGAGAGAGAGAGAGAGACAGACAGACAGACAGUUCUGAAGCUCUAGAAAUAGACGGAGGGAGAGAGAGAGAGAGAGAGAGAGAG
rnacentral:lncRNA from 1 species